rnacentral:lncRNA from 1 species
UGGCGACUAGAGGCUAAGGAGAGAGGCGCUGGCGGCUGCAGGUGGUGGAUGGCUACGCAUGGAUUUCCAUGAUGGAGCUAGGGUUCCAUUUCGGGCAGGGCUAGGCGUGUGUAUAUAGCAAUGGGGCUAGGCUGGGCAGUUUUCAUCCGUUUUCGGACCGUCGGAUCUUGAUCGGACGGUUGAAAACAGAGGGGUAGGCUACGUGGAUAGGUAGGCUGUGUGGAAGCUCUUGGGCUGAGAUGAGAGGGAAAUAGUGCGGCCUAUGACAGAGUUUUAAACUCUGAAAAUGUUCGACGAAUUACCGGCUAGUACCGCUAUAAGUUUAACGGUUCGGGUAUUAAACGGACUCUCGUUGCGAUGAAAUUUGGUAGGAAGCCUACCUUCACUAUAUUAAGACCGCAUGCUAACUUUUAACCAAUUUCGAGAAUGUUUUACACACACUUUUAAAAACAAU